UUGGAGAUUAGGUCGAAGUUCUCGAGUCAUCGUUGAAUCAUGUUAUCAUCAGUUGUCAAGUAGGUUUGCCAUAAGGGAUCCAAUGUUCGUAGACGACAGAAGCCAUACGCUUUAAUUGUUGAGUGAACCGGGGGUCGGAAGAGGUCAUACGCUUUGAUGGUUGAGUGAACCGGAGAUCAUCAUGAACCAUGCCCAUUUAAUGGUUGAGUGUGCUGGAGGCCUGCAGAGGCCAUG
rnacentral:lncRNA from 1 species